ACCAGGUCUAACGAACCCGCCAUUAGCUACGUGAUCCUUCAAUAUCUACUCUCAUUUAUACUUGUCUCUGUAAUCCAUAUAUACUUAUAGAAAAUAUUUUAAAACAAUAUAGGGCAUUUUGGUUCUAACUAAAUCAUAUAAUUUCUUUUCGAUAACAGUGAGUUCAAGUAACAGUAAAACAAAUCUAGUGACGAUGAAAAUAUUUAAAAC
rnacentral:lncRNA from 1 species